AAAUUAUGAAUUAUGAAAAUUGAUGCGUUAAAAAGUUUAGAAGGUUUUGGGUUGUGGGUGUCAUCCUUUUUAUAUGAUUGUCUCAUACUUGUUUUUGUUUAAUUUAGAUGGAAAAUGGGUAAGGAACAAUCAAAUUCAAUUCGGGAAGAAUAUAGAGGUGGUAAUAAUUGGUAAAAGUCUGCAGGGUUUUUUUUAACCAAAGGAAACUGGUUUGAGAAAAUUGUGAAAUCAGCAUUGAAAUUUGUUACCUACUCCAAUCAAGAUUUGCAAACUACAAAAAAAUCAUUCUGAAGCUUUCACCUAUAAAUAUAUACCAAGAUAAUUUCAGAUAAGAAUGUCCAGCAAGGAAGUGAAGACUGCUCUAAAAAGUGCUAGAGAUGCAAUCAGAAACAAAGAAUACAAAGAAGCUUUGAAACACUGUAAGGUAACCAGUAUUUUUUUCUUCCACAAUGAAAGUAUGUUACCCAUUUAUAAACAUUGUUGAUUUGUAAUAUGUGAAUUAUUUCCUGUC
rnacentral:lncRNA from 1 species